GCCGGUCCUGUGAGUUAAUAGGGAAUCCAGUGUAAAUCUGGAGCUGACGCGCAGCGGUAAGGAAAGGUGAGAUGAGAGCGUAAGCAGACACUGCCUGUUGGGUGGGAAGUCUUCAUCUCUUAUAUCCGUGGAUAACCUUCCAAGCCCGAAGACCUGCCGGCUAAC
rnacentral:ncRNA from 1 species